rnacentral:rRNA from 1 species
UACGUAGGGUGCGAGCGUUGUCCGGAAUUAUUGGGCGUAAAGGGCUCGUAGGCGGUUUGUCGCGUCGGGAGUGAAAACUCAGGGCUUAACCCUGAGCCUGCCUCCGAUACGGGCAGACUAGAGGUAUGCAGGGGAGAACGGAAUUCCUGGUGUAGCGGUGAAAUGCGCAGAUAUCAGGAGGAACACCGGUGGCGAAGGCGGUUCUCUGGGCAUUACCUGACGCUGAGGAGCGAAAGUGUGGGGAGCGAACAGG